UAUGGUUAGAAGAAGUCAAUCUGAAUCCUAUUAUUCUCGUGACUGUGAAUCAUAUAUCAUGAAUCUUUACAUUUCUAGAUUUGAAAAACAUGCAAAAGAAUGGUGGGAUGAAAGAGAAUAUCAUGUUAGAAUAGGUAGAAAAUUUCCCAUCAAUGAUUGGAAUGAAUUGAAAGGUUGUUUGAGAAAAAAUUUGUGCCUCUAGAGAUUCAAAGAAAUUUACAACUUAUGAGAGAGUUUAUUAAAGGAGGCAAGUCAUUCAUUCAAAAUUUAAGUGGAUUCUAUNAAAGGGAAANAGAGUUUAGAGACAAACUCAUGAAGUUUUUGAGUGAGGGUGAGGGAAGUAGAAGAAGAUUUGAGAGAGAACAUAGACAAUUACAAGAAAGAAUAGAGAGACAAGAGAGAAAAAAAGAGAGAAAACGAGAAGAAGAAAGACAAAGAGAAAGAGAGAACAAGAGAGAAAAGAAGAGGAAGAAAGAGUGAGAAGAGAACUAGUGGAAAGAGAAGAAAAAGAAGAAAGAGAGAAAAAAGAAAAGGAAGAAAGCGAGAGAAGAGUACACGAGAGAAGAGAAGAAGAGAAAAUAAGAGAGAAAGAAAGAAAGGAAGAGGAAGAGAAGGAAGAACUUGAAAAGAAAGACAUGGAAGAAAAGAAGAAAGAAAUGGCAACAUUCCCUAUUCUCACAAUAGAACACAAAUUUUUAAGGGGAGGUUUUCUAUCUUUUCACUUUCCAAUUGUUAUUGAAUGCUUUAAUUCUACCUUUUCUUUCCAAGAAUUUGCCAUUAAACCUUUUCAAAAGUUGCAAUCUUUAACACAUGGCAAUCAAAGACUUGAGUUAGAGAUAUCUUCCAAGUUAUCACUAACUCAAGAUAAAAAUAAAUUUUCAAAUGAAG
rnacentral:lncRNA from 1 species